CUGUGCGAGUGCGAACGGGUAGUAAUAUUUCGGAACGUGCCCAGUAGUGGGGGAUAACUGCUCGAAAGAGCAGCUAAUACCGCAUACGACCUGAGGGUGAAAGGGGGGGAUCGCAAGACCUCUCGCUAUUGGAGCGGCCGAUAUCAGAUUAGCUAGUUGGUGGGGUAAAGGCCUACCAAGGCAACGAUCUGUAGUUGGUUUGAGAGGACGACCAGCCCCUGGGACUGAGACACGGCCCAGACUCCUACGGGAGGCAGCAGUGGGGAAUUUUGGACAAUGGGCGCAAGCCUGAUCCAGCAAUGCCGCGUGCAGGAAGAAGGCCUUCGGGUUGUAAACUGCUUUUGUCAGGGAAGAAAUCCUCUAGGUUAAUACCCUUGGGGGGAUGACGGUA
rnacentral:rRNA from 1 species